AGUCGAACGGUAACGCGGGGCAACCUGGCGACGAGUGGCGAACGGGCGAGUAAUACAUCGGAACGUGCCCAGUAGUGGGGGAUAGCCCGGCGAAAGCCGGAUUAAUACCGCAUACGACCUACGGGUGAAAGCGGGGGAUCGCAAGACCUCGCGCUAUUGGAGCGGCCGAUGUCAGAUUAGCUAGUUGGUGGGGUAAAAGCCUACCAAGGCGACGAUCUGUAGCUGGUCUGAGAGGACGACCAGCCACACUGGGACUGAGACACGGCCCAGACUCCUACGGGAGGCAGCAGUGGGGAAUUUUGGACAAUGGGGGCAACCCUGAUCCAGCCAUGCCGCGUGCGGGAAGAAGGCCUUCGGGUUGUAAACCGCUUUUGUCGGGGAAGAAACGGUCUGCGCUAAUACCGCGGACUAAUGACGGUACCCGAAGAAUAAGCACCGGCUAACUACGUGCCAGCAGCCGCGGUAAUACGUAGGGUGCAAGCGUUAAUCGGAAUUACUGGGCGUAAAGCGUGCGCAGGCGGCUUUGCAAGACAGAUGUGAAAUCCCCGGGCUUAACCUGGGAACUGCAUUUGUGACUGCAUGGCUGGAGUGCGGCAGAGGGGGAUGGAAUUCCGCGUGUAGCAGUGAAAUGCGUAGAUAUGCGGAGGAACACCGAUGGCGAAGGCAAUCCCCUGG
rnacentral:rRNA from 1 species